GCAAGAGGAGGUCUUAACCAAAAUCCAGGGAACUUGGAGGCCAAGAAAAAGAGAAGCAAAACCAACCUAUACGCGACAUUUCCAACCCAAAGUCUUGCCACAAGACAACACACGACUUCAAAUACCCGCAUACAGCUUUGAACAUCUCCGUCAACCGAGCCUUUCCCUCUGUGACAUUUCCUUAGCCAACCAAGCUUCUCUCCGUCUGAAAUUUCCUCAAACACACGCAGCGCAUUAGCUCUCUAAGAGUUAAAAUGUCUCUCAGGCCGAGCACGAGAACAGAGGUGAGGAAGAAAGCGUACAAGACGGGUGUAGAUGCGGAUGAGGCGAGGAGAAGGAGAGAGGACAAUCUUGUAGAGAUCAGAAAGAAUAAGCGAGAAGACAAUCUUCUCAAGAAACGCAGAGAGGGUCUUCUUCUUCACUCUCAGCAAUUACCCGAUGCCACUCAAACCCCUGCUGCUAUUGAGAAAAGGCUGGAAAGUAUUCCUAUUAUGGUCCAAGGAGUAUGGUCAGAAGAUCCUGCGGCGCAAGUCGAAGCAACUACUCAUUUCAGGAAGCUCUUAUCGAUUGAGCGCAGCCCUCCAAUUGAUGAGGUAAUUAAAGCUGGAGUUAUUCCUCGAUUUGUUGAAUUUCUCGGACGGCAGGACUUACCUCAGCUUCAAUUUGAAGCUGCCUGGGCGUUGACAAAUGUUGCAUCUGGAACAUCAGAACAUACUCGUGUUGUGAUUGACCAUGGAGCUGUUCCUAUGUUUGUACAACUUCUAAGCUCAACCAGUGAUGAUGUCCGUGAACAGGCAGUCUGGGCUUUGGGCAAUGUUGCCGGUGAUUCCCCAAGUUGUAGAGAUCUUGUUCUAGGUCAGGGUGCAUUGAUGCCAUUGCUAGCUCAGUUGAAUGAACACUCAAAGCU
rnacentral:misc_RNA from 1 species